GCGAGUGUAAAGCUAUUCUUUUUUUGAGAUCCUCCAAUCUGGCCUGUCGACGAGCUUGAUUAGCUUCUUCUAUAAACUUGCCAGAUUCGUUUAAAUGCAAAUUCCUUGAACCCCUAGUUUUCCGUGAUUCCUUCGUUCGAGGAUCAUAAAAUGGUGAAUCCUCUAAUCUAGGAGUAGGGGCUGUAUCAAGAAAAGGAUUUUGUUCUGUAAUAGCAGGUGGUUUCAAUAGUUGGUGCUGCGAUAAAGAAACACCCUUUGUCGAAAAAGAAGCAGUUCGUUUACGAUUUUCAGGUGUUAAAAUUGUGUUUUGAAUGUUACCAUCUAAAAGCACUGGAUGGAUUCCAACUUUUAAUCCCCCUUUGGCACCAUUACUAUCAUCUCUGAACAAGCCUUCAGAUUUGGGUAUAUUGGCAUUCUACAAACGAUUAGCAACUGCAAAUAACAAAAAUAAAAAAACUUACAAAUCUCUUGGCUGUCUUUUCCUUAAGCUCUGAUAUACGAUUUUGUAUCGUUUCCAUUCCAGCAUUAUUCCCAUUUUCAGAGCGUUUUUCCCAAGGCACUUGAGCUUGUUGUGCAAGACGCUGCUCUAAUUGUAAACGUCUUCUUUUAAUUUCUUCCAUCUAUAUUGAAUUAGAUAUUCGUCCAUUAGUUUUAUAUUUUUGAAACAUACAGCGUUAGGCUUAUUUUGAGAAUUCGGCGAAGAACUUUCCCUCAAUUGAGACGAUUCUAAACGCCUCUUGUUACGAUCCAUCAGUUAAUUGAAAGCAGUAGUUUAAUUUGCAAAGCUGGGAAUACGAAUUUGUACAACGACUGUGCGUGUAAACUUUGAAAAACUCAGAUUCGUGGUCUAAAUAUAAACUGUGAACUUUACAUUAACGCUUAAAUUCAAAAAAAUGCAUAUAGUAAAAAAACUUGACAGUUUUUUGUGUCCUUCAAUCUUUAACCUAGUUGGUCCAUUCAAGGAGUGUGGUGGCACAUACCGCCUAAGUAUAGUUUGUUGCGAUACUUG